rnacentral:rRNA from 1 species
UGUAAGCGUAUACCAAAGUUGUUGCAGUUAAAACGCUCGUAGUCGGAAUUUGGCAGUUCCGGAUGUGUGCACGUCGUGUGCGCACUUCGCGGGGAUUGCUUUUGUGGUCUUGCGUAGGAUGAGGCACUUUUAUUAGUGAACGUCCUCACGCAACCACUUUUUACUGUGAGAAAAUCAGAGUGCUCAAAGCAGGCAUUUGCCGUGAAUGUAUUAGCAUGGAAUAAUAGAAUAGGACUCGGUUCUAUUUUGUUGGUUUGUUGGGACUGAGUAAUGAUUAAGAGGGACAGUUGGGGGCAUUUGUAUUUCGGCGCUAGAGGUGAAAUUCUUAGAUUGCCGAAAGACAAACUGCUGCGAAAGCGUCUGCCAAGGAUGUUUUCAUUGA